UUUUCAUACAGAGCCAAAAUUUGAUGUGCUCAAAGAAAACUUUAAGUUAGAAAUGUUACUCUGGUUUUUAUGAAUUUUCUAGCAGUUGAGGGAAUGGGUUCUUGUAAAUACAGUUACUCCUAGUUUUCUUCCUGAAAACCAUAUGUAAAGUAUAUAUAUGGUCUUCAAAUGGAAGGUUUUUUUGUUUUUUUUAGCUGUGCCUCUGUGGGCUGAGUGACCGUGACCGCAAGGUGGCUCAUGGAGAACUGGUGGGUGUGCAACUGCUACUGGAAGAUGUUCUGAGUAGCUAUCAUGUGACCAUGGAGGCCCCCCAAAGACAGCAAGCCACACUGGGCAAAAAUACACAGAUCUCUGGAAACACCAAGUCAUGAAAGAAAACUUUUCAGUCUCAAGACCACAAAUAGUUGAAAAAUUUAUACAGAGAUUAAUGCAGAAUUAUCAGGAUGAUGGAGUAGAGAUCACUUUCAGGAAAGAUCACCUUGAGGCCUGCCUCCUUUCCCUGGGUUG
rnacentral:sRNA from 1 species